rnacentral:rRNA from 1 species
AAUUUGUCUGGUUAAUUCGGUUAACGAACGAGACCUCGGCCUACUAAAUAGUGCGUGGUAUGGCAACAUAGUACGUUUUUACUUCUUAGAGGGACAUUUCGGGUUUACCGAAAGGAAGUUUGUGGCAAUAACAGGUCUGUGAUGCCCUUAGAUGUUCUGGGCCGCACGCGCGCUACACUGACGACUUCAACAAGUUUUUUGGCCUUGCCAAAUUUCCUUGGCCGGAAGGUCUGGGUAAUCUUUUAAAAGGUCGUCGUGAUGGGGCUAGAUUCUUGCAAUUAUUAAUCUCCAACGAGGAACC